GCAAUGGGCGAAAGCCUGACCCAGCAACGCCGCGUGAGGGAUGAAGUAUUUCGGUAUGUAAACCUCGAAAGAAUGGGAAGAAUAAAUGACGGUACCAUUUAUAAGCUCCGGCUAACUACGUGCCAGCAGCCGCGGUAAUACGUAGGGAGCAGGCGUUGUUCGGUUUUACUGGGCGUAAAGGGCGCGUAGGCGGCGCGGUAAGUCACUUGUGAAAUCUCUGAGCUUAACUCAGAACGGCCAAGUGAUACUGCUGGGCUAGAGUGCGGAAGAGGCAACCGGAAUUCUUGGUGUAGCGGUGAAAUGCGUAGAUAUCAAGAGGAACACCUGAGGCGAAGGCGGGUUGCUGGGCCGACACUGACGCUGAUGC
rnacentral:rRNA from 1 species